rnacentral:rRNA from 1 species
AGGCUUUGAUCCUGGCUCAGAUUGAACGCUGGCGGAAUGCUUUACACAUGCAAGUCGAACGGCAGCACGGGUGCUUGCACCUGGUGGCGAGUGGCGAACGGGUGAGUAAUAUAUCGGAACGUACCCAGUAAUGGGGGAUAACUAGCCGAAAGGUUAGCUAAUACCGCAUACGCCCUGAGGGGGAAAGCGGGGGACCGUAAGGCCUCGCGUUAUUGGAGCGGCCGAUAUCUGAUUAGCUAGUUGGUGGGGUAAGAGCCCACCAAGGCGACGAUCAGUAGCUGGUCUGAGAGGAUGAUCAGCCACACUGGAACUGAGACACGGUCCAGACUCCUACGGGAGGCAGCAGUGGGGAAUUUUGGACAAUGGGGGCAACCCUGAUCCAGCCAUUCCGCGUGAGUGAAGAAGGCCUUCGGGUUGUAAAGCUCUUUCGCAAGGGAAGAA